ACUAUAUUCUACCCACUUCAAGACUCCGCACCAAUAUAGAAGCAUCAAGAAAUAUGGGCCAAUAGGCCCUUUGCAGUUACUUCCAUUCUUAACUCUGAUUAAGAAAAGUUAACAUAUUACCAAUGGUAGCCAAGAGCCUCAUUAUAUUUGGCAGUAUUAAUGGUGAUUUUAUCGAGUGUCACAGGGGGCGAGGUUGGCCCAAUGCCCCCUGAAGACUGGAAGGGAAGAUGGCGAGAGAAGAGUUGUGGAGAACGGGACAUCUUGCACCUGCUACUCCAGAUGUUGCACCUGCUACUCGAAAUCAUGCACCUGCUACUCCAGAUCUUGCACCUGCCACUCCAGAUCUUGCACCUGCUACUCCAGAUCUUUCACCUGCUACUCCAGACGUUCUCGCACUUGAUGUUGCAGGGCCCAGCACAUCACGUGCUGGUAGAAUGUAAUGGUAGAAUUCGCCAUGACAAUGACAGCUGUCAACUACAAUGCUGGGUAUCUGAUGGGAUCUCUGACCAACCUCCUUGGUUACCGCAGAGUGACAUACGGGACUGGUACUUUAGUAAGAAGGACAAGGAGAUGCAGAAACCAACGACACCCACCAGCAAGCCAAGAAUGGCCCCUGAGGGAGCUGACCCUCGCAAUGGCGAAGGUGCCUACUAGUGCCACUGCAGUGCCACCUUGAGGACCCAUAUUUCUUACCAAUUAUAUUAGCGAUCUGCAUGGAACUUGCAUACCUUAUUGAACCCAUGCCUAUCUACAAGGGUGCAAAUUUUGAAUGAUAUUGGUCAACAUCAACCUCAGCUAAAGGUGGCUGAACUUUGACCUUCGUUUGUGCAGGCUGCGAUGCUGAAACUUUGCCCAGUUGCAGCAUCUUUCACAUGUAUCAGGAUAA